CUAAAGGUUUCAUUUGAUACCACCAAAUUAUUCAAAUAAGGUCAAU
rfam:Chlorocebus sabaeus isolate 1994-021 chromosome 20, whole genome shotgun sequence.